GAGAGGUUGACUGAGUGACUUCCUUAACUGGAUUUUGUGUGUUGAUGUCACUUUCUUGAUUUUUUUCUUUUCAGUAACUUAUUAUAAUCAUGCCCUUCUGUCUACUAGAAAAAACCCCCACACCUAACACUGAGAAAGAAUUGUACUUUUCCUUUGGCAUCUGGUGGUUGGCACAGCUUCCAUUAGAGCUCAUGUUGCUGCUGAGCAGUGGGCAUAGGGCAGCGUUCCGUGCUCCUCUUGGGGUAUGCACACACAGACAUGCACCAGCUUGUGCUGGCAAAGGAAAGCAAUCUCCAGGUCAGGCCUCCAGCACUUGGCUCCUGUGCAUUCCCUCAACAUUGCAGUCUCCAAUGGACCAGUGAAGGAACCAAGAGCGGCCUUAGAGUGGACUGAAAAUGCUGUGAAUGGAGAGCAUCUGUGGCUAGAGACAAAUGUUUCUGGGGACCUCUGCUACCUGGGGGAGGAAAGCUGCCAAGUCAAAUUCUCAAAAUCUGCUCUGCGGAGGAAGUGUGCUGCCUGCAAGAUUGUGGUCCACAAUGCAUGCAUGGAGCAGUUAGAGAAGAUUAAUUUUCGCUGCAAACCGACUUUCCGAGAAGGAGGAUCCAGAUCUCCAAGAGAAAACUUUGUCCGACAUCACUGGGUGCACAGGCGGAGGCAGGAGGGGAAAUGCAAGCAGUGUGGAAAGGGCUUUCAGCAGAAGUUUUCCUUCCAUAGUAAAGAGAUAGUGGCCAUCAGUUGUUCCUGGUGCAAGCUGGCGUUUCAUAACAAAGUCACCUGUUUCAUGCUGCAUCACAUUGAGGAGCCGUGUUCCCUGGGGGCUCAUGCUGCUGUCAUUGUGCCUCCCACUUGGAUCAUUAAGGUGAAGAAACCUCAGGUGGUCUCCAUACCAGGAGACGAGCCUGAUUGGGCAGGAGACUGGAGCCCCGAAGGGGAAACGGGCGUCUCCUACCCCUAUUGGGAGGGUUGGCAGAACUCCUUAAAGACUUCAACACGGCGAAAGAAGAGAACAUCUUUUAAAAGAAAAGCCAGCAAAAGAGGCAAUGAAGAGAACAAAGGCCGUCCGUUUGUAAUAAAGCCUAUCUCCUCUCCACUCAUGAAGCCACUGUUGGUUUUUGUCAAUCCAAAAAGUGGAGGGAAUCAGGGUACCAAGGUUCUCCAAAUGUUUAUGUGGUAUUUGAAUCCACGCCAGGUCUUUGAUCUCUCUCAGGAAGGGCCAAGAGAUGCGCUGGAACUGUACAGAAAAGUGCCAAAUCUGAGGAUCCUGGCCUGUGGCGGGGAUGGGACGGUGGGCUGGAUCCUCUCCAUCCUCGAUGAGCUGCAACUCAGCCCCCCGCCUCCGGUGGCUGUUCUUCCGCUUGGCACUGGGAAUGACCUUGCCCGCACCCUCAACUGGGGUGGGGGUUACACAGAUGAGCCAGUGUCCAAGAUCCUCUGCCAUGUAGAAGACGGGACCAUUGUCCAGCUGGACCGCUGGAAUCUGCAUGUUGAGCGCAACCCUGAUUUGCCCCAGGAUGAGCUGGAGGAUGGGGCACGUAAGCUUCCCCUCAAUGUCUUCAAUAAUUACUUCAGCCUUGGAUUUGAUGCACAUGUUACACUGGAGUUCCAUGAAUCUAGAGAAGCAAAUCCAGAGAAAUUCAACAGCCGAUUUAGAAAUAAAAUGUUUUAUGCAGGGGCAGCCUUUACAGACUUUCUGCAAAGAAGCUCAAGAGAUUUAUCAAAGCAUGUUAAAGUUGUGUGUGAUGGUACAGACCUGACUCCAAAGAUCCAGGAGCUGAAGUUCCAGUGUAUAGUGUUUUUAAACAUACCCAGGUAUUGUGCUGGCACAAUGCCCUGGGGAAACCCUGGAGAUCACAGAGACUUUGAGCCCCAGCGCCACGACGAUGGCUACAUUGAGGUCAUUGGGUUCACCAUGGCCUCUCUGGCUGCUCUCCAGGUGGGUGGUCAUGGAGAGAGGUUGCACCAGUGCCGUGAGGUGACACUUUUGACAUACAAGUCUAUCCCCAUGCAAGUGGAUGGAGAACCAUGUCGAUUGGCCCCCUCACUCAUUCGGAUCUCCUUAAGGAACCAAGCCAACAUGGUGCAGAAGAGCAAGAGGAGAACGUCUAUGCCUUUGCUGAAUGAUCCUCAUUCCAUCCCAGAUCGCCUGCGGAUCAGAGUGAACAGGAUUAAUUUACAAGAGUACGAGGGGCUACAUUACGACAAGGAAAAGCUCCGGGAAGCUUCCAUUCCCCUAGGAAUUAUAGUUGUGCGAGGAGACUGCGACUUGGAGACUUGUCGUAUGUACAUUGACCGCCUACAAGAGGACCUACAGUCAGUACCUUCUACUACACAGAGAGUUCAUUACCAGGACCAGGAAAGCUCUUUCCCCAGAGUACUUUCUGUCCAGAGGCUCUCUCCUAGAUGGUGCUUCCUAGACGCAACUUCUGCUGAUCGUUUUUACCGCAUUGACAGAUCUCAGGAACAUUUGCACUUUGUGACAGAAAUUUCGCAGGACGAGAUUUUUAUUCUGGACCCAGAGGUGGUAAUGUCACAGCAGGUGGGGACGCCACCAGGAAUGCCUGAUCUGGUAGUGGAGCAGGCCUCUGGAAUAUCAGAUCGGUGGAACCCUGCUGUGCGAAAGAGGAUGCUGAGCGACAGUGGCCUUGGCAAGAUCUCCCCCCACUACGAGGUACCUGACAAACAAAAGGACGCCAGCCAGACACAUAUGCUGCAGUCACCAGUUUCUUCAGAAGAUCAAGCACUUUACAGGCAGUCAUAUCUGGUGAUCUACUGAAGUUCAUAGAAUGCUGUAAAAAAGGGGCCAAUUUGUUAAUCCAAGGACCUGAUCGCUGCUCCUUGUUGCAUCAUGCUGCCAAGACUGGGAAUGGCGAGAUUGUGAAAUACAUCCUGGAACACGGUCCAUCUGAAUUACUGGACAUGACAGACAGUGAAACGGGUGAGACAGCAUUACAUAAGGCAGCCUGCCAGCGCCACCGCGCCGUCUGCCAGCUCCUGGUGGAUGCGGGAGCCUCUCUGAGAAAGACAGACUCCAAGGGUAAGACCCCUCGUGACAGGGCUCAGCAAGCUGGUGAUCCGGAUCUGGCUUCCUACCUGGAGAGUCGACAAAACUACCAAAUGGUUACCCACGAAGAUCUAGAGACAGCAGUCUGAUGUCUGAAAAUGUCGAAGAGGAUCCUUGGAAGUCUCGAGGCUUCACCUGAGGCGCUCAGGCGUCAUGUGAGAAAGAAGCUGAUGGAAUCAACGUGUCUCUCACUCUAGCGGAAAAUACCUGAGGACAUGCCACCAGUUUCUAAGGGCUACUGAGUCUUGCCACGGAAUGGUUAGGUUCCCUAAGUUAGCCCAUGAUAGAUGAGGUGGGACACUUAAAGGUCUGUGGAAUCCAUGGGCCGUGGAAAUUUACCAUUAUUGCUUCCAGCAAGUAGCAUGAACUUCUCCCAUGUUCAUCUGUACAAUUUAUUUAAAAAAAAAAAAAAGGAAGGAAAAAAAAAAAAGAAAGACUUAAGAGGGUGUGGGGGAACAAAACUCCAAACUAACUGGGACAUUAAAGCACCCAAUGAGGCCCUCCUCCAUCUUUACAAUUUCCUGCAUUCCUUUUAUUCUCCUGUUCCCCCCACUUCUCAUAAAUUAAAUAGUACCUGUUAUCUCUGUGUUUUCUUCACAAAUGGUCAGGCAGUAGCAAAAUAUUUGAGGAGCUCUGGAUGCCCUUAGGAAAAGUCCAGUGUUUUUACCAGCUACACUCCCUCCCUUGCCAUCCUCUCAAAAGCUGCAUCCUCAGUACCCUGUCGCCAUGGAGUUUCCUUGCUUUAGGAGAGGAUGCUGCCUGUUGCCUUGUUUCCCAGGGUGUGGGGCACAAUUAGAUUUACAGCAGUGACAAAACCUAACCUUAUUGUUGCUGGGUAUGUGGUUAUGGUAGCCUCACGAUACAGUAAUUUGUAUGGGAAGGAGUUAUAUGGGAUAUAGCAUGUCGAAUGGCAGAGCAGAAAGUUACCAGUAAGGUUUCUCAUAUUACUUUUGUGUGUGUGUAAUGACCGAUCCAGUUCUGCUCAGGUUUCAGGCCUUCCUAAAAGCUGAUAGUGGUUCUUUACUCUUGAAAACAUGGGUUUUACACUGGAGAUAGAUUUGUGCAAUACUGAGGGAGUUCUGAUGGACUGAUAUAUGGACCUAGUGCCCUUUGCAUUACAGCCAGAGAUAGGAAGGAGGCCUAGAACAUCAGCAAUCAACCUUGCUGCUACCAACAAACAAAUGGACACUGGCCCAGUCGCAUGUGGAAUAGAAAAACCUUCUUUGACUGAACCUGUAAACUAUCUGAUUCUUCAAGGGAACAAAGUUUCAGGGAGUCUGUCCCACUGGAGAAGGACAAGCAGCAGCUCCUUGCCUCAUUACCCACUAUAGGCUCGAAAAUGUAAAGCUUAGCCACUGUAAAGGUCCGCUGUGUCUUCACUACUCGUCUGUUCUGUGUCUUAUAACCAUAAAAGAAGAGAAAGCAAACACACAUACACACAAGCAUAAAAAAAAUGUUCCACCUUUGGGUUUCCAGUUGCUGCAGAUAUCUCAGCUGCCAGAAAUAACAGAGCUUCCAUUUCUACUUUGUCUGACCAGUUCCCAUGAAGACAUUCAUGACUGAGUUUUGGUAUAAUUCUUAUAAUACAUUUUUGAGUUUUGCUUUGUUGUUUGUUUUGAAGGAUCCACCAGUGUUUGCUUUCAUAUGCCUUGCUAGGUGUAGCUCUCUGGUAGAUGAUGAUCAUCAGGAUUACAUACAUUUGGAAACCAUGAAAAUAACUCAGGUCAUUAUCCAGAUAAGUUUUUCUUCCUUACUAGAGGUGGAGGAAAUUAAAUGUAUUUAUUUUCUUUUUCUUUUCUUUUUUUUUUUUUUUUUAAACAAGUGAUUGUUAUGGUAGAGAGGGAGGAGCUGAAAAAUAUACUUUUAAUUUUUUUUCUGUUUUCAAAGGUUCAUUUGAUAUGAGCAAAAUAUUUCCGUAGUAUUUCUUCCUCUGGAAGGAAACUAUAUAUAUAUUUGUAAUCUAUAGGUCAAUGGUGACAUGAAAUGUAUUUUGUCUUAUUUUCUGUCUUUCUCGUUUAAAAAAUAAAAUAUGAAAGCCAAAUUCCUUCUCUUGGUAGUCAUCCAGGGGCUUGUGGAGAAGGUCAGUAUGUGUAUAUAUUAGAACAGAAUUUGGCAUCUGUUAAAAUAAAAAAUCAGAAUAUAAUUUUGGUGUGGUAUGUGAAAUUUCCACAAGGAACAUUCUCACGCUGUGGUUUCAUGGUAGGCCUUGCAUCAUUUCCCAGCAGUGAGAAAAGACAUUACUGUAAUAUUUCUAUAUAUUGGAUGAUAAUAAGAAUUAUGUUUCUAUCAAUUUUUUGCUUUGUUUUACUGAUGUGAGAAACGGAUGAAGCUUCAAUGACACCAGGAGCUUAGGUCUGUCCUGUGCUGGGGCCAGUCUGGUGCCUGAGCAGAGAGUGGUCACUGAGCCUGUGACAGCUCCCUGGUCCCUUAGUCCCAUGAAACAGGUGGAGCAGUAAAGGCUUGCUUUAAUCACGGGUAGCUUUCAGAGGCCACAUGUGAAUUAUGAUAAGGGAGCUGGGUCUGGUCCCUCUCUGUCCCCAGUGGUCCUCCCCUUGUCAGGCUAUCCCUAGUGCCUGGGAGGUAGUUGCAGCUGUGGCUGGCUCUGGAGCAGCUUGUCAGGAUGUGCAGAUUUCCUGAGCAAUUUUGGGCUGCUCAGAGGAACUCAGAGCACACAAGAGACCGUGACUUGCCUUUUUCCCUGGAAGCUGGAGUAUGAUGAUAUGAUCAGAGUGAGCCCAUUGUGCCUCUGGAAAGCUGCCCAUGCUGUGUGCUCAGCUGAAGACAGUUACCUGUAUGAUAAAAGCACUGGAUAAUGAUAAAAGCACUCCCAGCACUGGAGUUAGGACAGGAACUGGCUGUAUGUAGUGCCUUUAGUAUUCAAGCUGUCCCAAAGCGCUGCACACAUAAUGCACGAGAUACUUGUGAUGUGUUGUAUUUGUAGGUAACAGAACAUGUAUAUUGCUUUCUACAAUGGCAAGGAAUAUCAGAAGUUGGUUCACUGAGGGCAGUUUGGGACCAGGAUGCUACAGGAUUAUUCCUUACCAUUUUUGAAGUGUGAUGGGGUUCUCAAUUUUGGACAGCCACCAGAAGCAGGCAGACUCUGUAGCAGUCAAUGGUGACCUAUGUAUUGAAUCUCUGGAGCACUUGGGCUCUAGAUUUAUCCAGUGUAGUUGUGCCUGCACUGUGCAGGGCCCAAAUUUCAAUGUGCAGCUGGGAAUCCACUUAAAUUAUAUGUAAAGCGUUUUGAUUACUAAAAGUAUCUGUUCAGUGGCAGUGUCUAUUUAGUGUGUGUAUAUUACUAUAUAUAUGUAGAUUUAUAAACAUCAGUAUACAUAUAUAUAGAAGCACACACACAUAUACACACACACUUAAAAUUGUGCCAUUUGAAUGACAAAGUACCUAGGGAUGCUCAGCUACUGACAUUACUGGAUUGACAAAAUGUGAUUUUCCAUUUUAAUUUGUUAUUAAGGGGAACUUUUUUUAGUAGAGCUGAGGAGCUCCUGAAUUGUUCCAUUGUACUGGUUUUACUAUCUCAUUUUGGAGUUGAAUGGAGGGAAAGAAAAUAUUUAUAAUGUUGAUAAAAUAAACUUACUUUUGUAAUUUAA